UAGGGAAUUUUCGGCAAUGGGGGCGAACCCUGACCGAGCAACGCCGCGUGAGUGAAGAAGGUUUUCGGAUCGUAAAGCUCUGUUGUAAGAGAAGAACGUGUGUGAGAGUGGAAAGUUCACACAGUGACGGUAACUUACCAGAAAGGGACGGCUAACUACGUGCCAG
rnacentral:rRNA from 1 species